AUGGAACAAAUUGAUAGAGUGAGAAAUGCGACCCAGGCAGCAAAGGGAUUCGCCUCAAGCUCCGCCGGGCAGCUGGCGAGGAUCGAGGGCCUGGUGACUGUGGCCUGCAUCCUUGUCGGCAGCCUUGUUGUGUCCAACUCGAGGCGACGCCAUGACGGCCGUUUCAUGGCCAGGCUCGUCGUCUGGGGCGCCUUCAUGUUCAACUUCCCGGUGAUCUCCUACACCAUCGGCCUGAUGCAGUCGUCGUCCAUCCGGAACGAGCUCUUCGUCGUGUGGGCCUGCUUCCUCCUCCUCCUCCUCGGCAGCGCCGACACCAUGACGGCAUUCAGCUUCAACGACAGCAGCCAGCAGACAAGAUCCAUGAUGAACCAGGCCCUGCACGUCGUCUACCUGCUGUUUCUGAUACUCUACUACAAAGGUCAGCUCCGCGGCAGCUUCCUCGUGAUUUUAUUUCUGCUCUGGUGCUUAAGCGUUGUAAGGCUUGGCCUGAGGUGCAAGGCCUACCGGUCAACGUGCCGCUCCCGUGGGCUGAUCAGGGAAAACCAGGUCGUGUUCGAGUACAUGAAGUACGAACCACUGAACAGUCCUGGUAUCCAAGGUGGUGUCUACAACGCAGAAACCAUGGAGGGGUACAUCUACCUUGUCGACGGCAAGGAAGUGAAGAAGGUGCAGUAUGGAGAAGAGGUCAUACGCGUGUCUUACCGCGAGCCGGAAACGGUGGUGGACGUCCCCGGAAUUGACACGGCACCGGACAUCGCCGGAGCUGAGACGGGAGACGCCCACCAAUUAAGGGUGGAUGCCGAAAAAACAGUAGACGUCGCAAGAAUCUGGCAAUGCAAAGGGAAGUUACUGCAAUAUGGCGGCGAUAAAGGUGCUUCAAGGCGGAGGGAUCUGUGUCUCUCCUUUGCUCUCUUCAGGAUUCUCAGGCUAAGGUUUGCAGUUGAUCAUGUUGGCAAUAUAUUCUUCCCCUUUCAAUCUGACAAGUGUCGAGAUUUCGUUGUCAAAGGGCUCCUCUCGGAUGAUGAAGAUCUCGAUAGAGCAUUCCGGGUAGUCGAGGCAGAGCUCGGCUUCCUCUUUGAUUUCUUUUAUGCUCGGUACCCGUCCAUCAAAGACACCCUAGCUCCCGAUUUGAUUGUGUAUGCUGCGAUCCUUGCAACCAGCAUAUUUACUCUCUUCUCCCCAGACCUCCUCAAGUACCAGCCGACUGGGGUCAGUGCAAACAUCUUCAUCCAUGGCUUCAAUCUUGAUCUUCUCGUCACUCGUUUGGCCAUCGUCUGGUACAUACUUCUCGAGUCGUACCAGUUCCUUUCGUUGUUCAUCUUCUCCGACUGGCACAAGGUGAAGAUGUUGUGCCGGUACGUGCGGAAGGAGUCAUGGCACAUGGCGUUAGUGGAGAUCCCACUCAAGGUCCUGUGCUAUUUCACCUUCUCAAAGUACUGGAAGGGAAGCAUCGGCCAGUACUUCAUCCUCGACAAUGCCCAUCCUCACCCGGUGAAGUCCUUCCUAUCAUGGAUAUCGCUCGAGGCCCUGGACUCAUCACAGAUGACCAAGUCCAUCAGCUUGCCACUCGAUGUGAGGGAAGCUGUCCUUCGCCAACUCAAGGCCAUUGCCGGCAAGGUCACCGAUGGAAGGAUGUGGCUGUAUGAGAUGGGCAUCGUCGACCUGGAUCUCGAUCGCGACUGCUUGCUUGGCCAGACGUAUGCCCGCUACAUCAUGACAUGGCACAUAGCCACAAGCAUCUGCAGCUACGGCAAAGAGGUGGCGGAGCUGAAUGCCCGCAAACAGGCGGCGGAGCUGAUUGCCAGCAAACAGGAGAAUGCCAGCAAAGAGGCAGUUGAGCUCAUGAAGAACCAUGCGGUGGCUACUAAGCUGUCCGGGUACUGUGCAUAUCCGAUGGCCUUCAAACCGGACCUGGUUCCGGACAGCACUUACACGAGCUUAUCGAUGGCCCGUGGUACGCUGCACAACGCCCGUGAGUUCCUUGGCAAAUGCAAGUCCAACAAGGAGAAGUACGAUAAACUGAUCGCCUUAGGGAAGAUACAGUCCACUAACCACGAGGUCCGCUUUCUGUCUGAGGGCGCGAGGAUCGCUGUUUACCUCGUCGAAAAGAUUAAGACCGAGGAGGAACGAUGGAGGGUGCUUGCCACCUUCUGGGCGAACAUGAUGCUGUGGAUCGGCUCAUCGGACAGAGCAGUGGCACAUGCCACCAGCAUGGCAACCGGCGGGGAGUUCAUAACACUCAUAUGGGCUCUGCUCACACAUGCCUACGUGGUAGACAAGCUUCAGGAGAAUGGUGGUAACUCAGGAUUGCAUAUGCAGCUGAAUAAAAAUCAGGAUGGGCAAGAGGCGACAAGCUGA
rnacentral:rRNA from 1 species